rnacentral:rRNA from 1 species
GACGAACGCUGGCGGCGUGCUUAACACAUGCAAGUCGAACGAUGAUGCCAGCUUGCUGGUGGAUUAGUGGCGAACGGGUGAGUAACACGUGAGCAACCUGCCCCUGACUUCGGGAUAACCGCGGGAAACCGUGGCUAAUACCGGAUAUGACGCGCUAUCGCAUGGUGGUGUGUGGAAAGAUUUAUCGGUUGGGGAUGGGCUCGCGGCCUAUCAGCUUGUUGGUGGGGUGAUGGCCUACCAAGGCGUCGACGGGUAGCCGGCCUGAGAGGGUGACCGGCCACACUGGGACUGCGACACGGCCCAGACUCCUACGGGAGGCAGCAGUGGGGAAUAGUGCACAAUGGGCGCAAGCCUGAUGCAGCGACGCCGCGUGGGGGAUGACGGCCUUCGGGUUGUAAACCUCUUUCAGUAGGGAAGAAGGCCUUCGGGUUGACGGUACCUGCAGAAGAAGCGCCGGCUAACUACGUG